rnacentral:rRNA from 1 species
UGUGUCAGCCGCCGCGGUAAGACGAACCGUGCGAACGUUGUUCGGAAUCACUGGGCUUAAAGGGCGCGUAGGCGGGCUGACAAGUCUGGGGUGAAAUCCCACGGCUCAACCGUGGAACUGCCUUAGAUACUGUCGGCCUCGAGGAAGGUAGGGGCAUGCGGAACUGUAGGUGGAGCGGUGAAAUGCGUUGAUAUCUACAGGAACUCCGGUGGCGAAAGCGGCGUGCUGGACCUUUUCUGACGCUGAGGCGCGAAAGCUAGGGGAGCAAACGGGAUUAGAUACCCCGGUAGUCCUAGCCCUAAACGAUGGGUACUAGGUAGUAGACUAGACAUGGGUUUACUGCCGAAGCUAAAGUGCUAAGUACCCCGCCUGGGGAGUAUGGUCGCAAGGCUGAAACUCAAAGAAAUUGACGGGGGCUCACACAAGCGGUGGAGCAUGUGGCUUAAUUCGAGGCUACGCGAAGAACCUUAUCCUGGACUUGACAUGUGCGAAAGCGCUAGGUAGUAGAAGCCGGAAACGGUAACGAACCAGCAAUGGGAGCCUAGUACAGGUGCUGCAUGGCUGUCGUCAGCUCGUGUCGUGAGAUGUCGGGUUAAGUCCCAUAACGAGCGAAACCCUUACCCUUAGUUGCAACCGCAAGGGCACUCUAGGGGGACUGCCGGUGUUAAACCGGAGGAAGGCGGGGAUGACGUCAAGUCCUCAUGGCCUUUAUGUCCAGGGCUGCACACGUGCUACAAUGGCGUGUACAAAGCGAAGCAACUGCGCGAGCAGAAGCAAAUCGCAAA